rnacentral:rRNA from 1 species
CGGUCAUUCCGACUUACCAAACCGAUGCAAACUCCGAAUACCUACAAGUGCCGAGCAUGGGAGACACACGGCGGGUGCUAACGUCCGUCGUGAAAAGGGAAACAACCCAGACCGUCAGCUAAGGUCCCAAAGUUAUGGUUAAGUGGGAAACGAUGUGGGAAGGCUUAGACAGCUAGGAGGUUGGCUUAGAAGCAGCCACCCUUUAAAGAAAGCGUAAUAGCUCACUAGUCGAGUCGGCCUGCGCGGAAGAUGUACCGGGGCUAAGCUGUGUACCGAAGCUGCGGAUGCAAGCUUGCUUGCAUGGUAGGGGAGCGUUCUGUAAGUCACUGAAGGUGUAUUGCGAGAUAUGCUGGAGAUAUCAGAAGUGAGAAUGCUGACAUGAGUAACGAUAAUGCGGGUGAAAAACCCGCACGCCGAAAACCCAAGGUUUCCUGCGCAACGCUAAUCGGCGCAGGGUUAGUCGGUACCUAAGGCGAGACCGAAAGGUGUAGUCGAUGGACAACAGGUUAAUAUUCCUGUACCGCGUAUACUGCGAUGGGGUGACGGAGAAGGCUAAGUUUACCGGGUGUUGGUUAUCCCGGGGAAAGUAUGUAGGUAGGAAGCUUUGGAAAAUCCGGGCUUCUAUUACUGAGGUACGAGACCAUUGAUUUUUUAAUCAAGAAGUAACUGAUGCCAUGCUUCCAAGAAAAGCCUCUAAGCUUCAGGUAUUACGCGACCGUACCCCAAACCGACACAGGUGGGUGGGAUGAGAAUUCUAAGGCGCUUGAGAAAACUCUGGUGAAGGAACUAGGCAAAUUGGUACCGUAACUUCGGGAGAAGGUACGCCUAUAUCGGUGAUGGAACUUGCUUCCUAAGCUGAUGUAGGUCACAGAAACUAGGUGGCUGCGACUGUUUACUAAAAACACAGCACUCUGCUAACUCGCAAGAGGACGUAUAGGGUGUGACGCCUGCCCGGUGCCGGAAGGUUAAUUGAUCGGGUUAGCCCUUUUUAGGGCGAAGCUCGUGAUCGAAGCCCCGGUGAACGGCGGCCGUAACUAUAACGGUCCUAAGGUAGCGAAAUUCCUUGUCGGGUAAGUUCCGACCUGCACGAAUGGCGUAACGAUGGCCACACUGUCUCCACCAGAGACUCAGUGAAAUUGAAAUAGCUGUGAAGAUGCAGUUUAAACGCACCAAGACGGAAAGACCCCGUGCACCUUUACUACAGCUUUACAUUGGACUUUGAGCCUGUUUGUGCAGGAUAGGUGGGAGGCUAUGAAGCAUAUGCGUUAGCAUAUGUGGAGCCAACCUUGAGAUACCACCCUGGCAUGAUUAGAGUUCUAACCUAGGUCCGUUAUCCGGAUCAGGGACAUUGUAUGGUGGGUAGUUUGACUGGGGCGGUCUCCUCCUAAAGAGUAACGGAGGAGCACAAAGGUUCCCUCAGCGCGGUCGGUAUCGCGCAUUAAGAGUGUAAAGGCAUAAGGGAGCUUGACUGCGAGACAGACAUGUCGAGCAGGAGCGAAAGCUGGUCUUAGUGAUCCGGUGGUUCUGUAUGGAAGGGCCAUCGCUCAACGAAUAAAAGGUACGCCGGGGAUAACAGGCUAAUUCCCCCCAAGAGUUCACAUCGACGGGGGAGUUUGGCACCUCGAUGUCGGCUCAUCACAUCCUGGGGCUGUAGCAGGUCCCAAGGGUAUGGCUGUUCGCCAUUUAAAGUGGUACGCGAGCUGGGUUUAGAACGUCGUGAGACAGUUCGGUCCCUAUCUGGUGCGUUCGUUGGAAACUUGAAGGGAGCUGCUCCUAGUACGAGAGGACCGGAGUGGACGUACCCCUGGUGUUCCGGUUGUCACGCCAGUGGCAUUGCCGGGUAGCUAUGUACGGAAGGGAUAACCGCUGAAAGCAUCUAAGCGGGAAGCCCACCCUAAGAUAAGGUUUCCCUGGAUCCUUGAGAUCCCUGAAGGGCCAUCGAAGACUACGAUGUUGAUAGGUCGGGUGUGGAAGCUCAGUAAUGAGUGUAGCUAACCGAUACUAAUUACCCGUGAGGCUUGGUCAU